UGAGCUCAAAUCAGGUAGGACU
rnacentral:rRNA from 2 species